rnacentral:tRNA from 1 species
UCUAGUAUGGCAGAAUAGUGCAAUGAAUUUAAGCUUCAUAUAUAAAGAUUUAGUCUUUUAUUAGAA